rnacentral:rRNA from 1 species
GGUUCUGGAUUCUGGCUCAGAUUGAACGCUGGUGUUUACACAUGCAAGUCGAACGGCAGCACGGACUUCGGUCUGGUGGCGAGUGGCGAACGGGUGAGUAAUGUAUCGGAACGUGCCUAGUGAAGCGGGGGAUAACUACGCGAAAGCGUAGCUAAUACCGCAUACGCCCCUUCGGGGGAAAGCGGGGGACCUUCGGGCCUCGCACUAUUAGAGCGGCCGAUAUCGGAUUAGCUAGUUGGUGGGGGGGGUAACGGCUCACCAAGGCGACGAUCCGUAGCUGGUUUGAGAGGACACCAGCCACACUGGGACUGAGACACGGCCCAGACUCCUACGGGAGGCAGCAGUGGGGAAUUUUGGACAAUGGGGGAAACUCCUGAUCCAGCCAUCCCGGGCGUGUGCGAUGAAGGCCUUCGGGUUGUAAAGCACUUUUGGCAGGGAAAGAAACGGCACGGGAUAAUACCCUGUGCAACUGACGGUACCUGCAGAAUAAGCACCGGCUACGUGCCAGCAGCCGCGGUAAUACGUAGGGUGCAAGCGUUAAUCGGAAUUACUGGGCGUAAAGCGUGCGCAGGCGGUUCGGAAAGAAAGAUGUGAAAUCCCAGAGCUUAACUUUGGAACUGCAUUUUUAACUACCGAGCUAGAGUGUGUCAGAGGGAGGUGAAUUCCGCGUGUAGCAGUGAAAUGCGUAGAUAUGCGGAGGAACACUGAUGGCGAAGGCAGCUCUGGGACCAACACUGACGCUCAUGCACGAAAGCGUGGGAGCAAACAGGAUUAGAUACCCUCUGGUAGUCCACGCCCUAAAUGAUGUCAACUAGCUGUUGGGGCCUUCGGGCCUCGGUAGCGCAGCUAACGCGUGAAGUUGACCGCCUGGGAGUACGGUCGCAAGAUUAAAACUCAAAGGAAUUGACGGGGAAGGCACAAGCGGUGGAUGAUGUGGAUUAAUCUGAUGCAACGCGAAAAACCUUACCUACCCUUGACAUGUCUGGAAUCCCGAAGAGAUUUGGGGAGUGCUCGCAAGAGACCCGGAACACAGGUGCUGCAUGGCUGUCGUCAGCUCGUGUCGUGAGAUGUUGGGUUAAGUCCCGCAACGAGCGCAACCUCCUUGUCAUUAGUUGCUACGAAAGGGCACUCUAAUGAGACUGCCGGUGACAACCGGAGGAAGGUGGGAUGACGUCAAGUCCUCAUGGCCCUUAUGGGUAGGGCUUCACACGUCAUACAAUGGUCGGGACAGAGGGUCGCCAACCCGCGAGGGGGAGCCAAUCCCAGAAACCCGAUCGUAGUCCGGAUCGCAGUCUGCAACUCGACUGCGUGUGAAGUCGGAAUCGCUAAGAAUCGCGGAUCAGCAUGUCGCGGUGAAUACGUUCCCGGGUCUGUACACACCACCCGUCACACCAUGGGAGUGGGUUUUACCAGAAGUAGCGUUAGGCCUAACCGUAAGGAGGGCGAUUACCACGGUAGGAUUCAUGACUGGGGUGAAGUCGUAACAAGGUAACCCUGUUACUACCUGCUGGAUGCCUCAGACACACGUAACCGAACGGCUGCUACC